GAGUGGUCUAGUGGUCAGAGCGUUCGCCUCAGAUGCGGGAGUUGGUGGGUUCGAACCCCGGCCGAGUCA